UCGAGAAUCUUUAGCAAUGCCCGCAAGGGUGACUAUGCGACGCCGCGUGAGCGAUGAAGGCCUUCGGGUCGUAAAGCUCUGUCAAACCGGAUGAAAUUUCAGCAUUUUAAUAAAGUGCUGGAUUGACAGUACGGUUAAAGGAAGCCACGGCUAACUCCGUGCCAGCAGCCGCGGUAAUACGGAGGUGGCAAGCGUUGUUCGGAUUUACUGGGUGUAAAGGGUGCGUAGGUGGUUAGGUAAGUCAGAUGUGAAAUCCCACAGCUUAACUGUGGAACUGCAUUUGAAACUGCUUAGCUUGAGUGCGGAAGAGGAUAGGGGAAUUCUCGGUGUAAGGGUGAAAUCUGUAGAUAUCGAGAGGAACACCUGCGGCGAAGGCGCCUAUCUGGGACGCAACUGACACUGAGGCACGAAAGCGUGGGGAGCAAACAGG
rnacentral:rRNA from 1 species